CCCCUAUUUACUGUAAGUUAGUCCAUGAUCGAUCUGUUCCUAUACUUUUGGUCUUGCCGCUCCAGUAGUUUCAGAGGGGACUGUAGCUAGGUCCAAAGUAUUUUAAAUGUCUCUACAUUUCUGUCACACUAAAACAAACACGGCACAAAUGAACACACAUCGCUACGGGACACUCCUCGAGUUUUCGCUCAUUUGCUCGCGUGCAUUUCGAGCUCCGCCUUCUCCCACACGUCUUUUUUUUUUCGCUCCGUUCUGAUCCGUUUUCGUACCAAACAGGAACCGAAUCGAGACGGUCAUCUCGGAUAUGGACUAACAGUUGAGAAAUUGGUGUGUAAUGAUGUCAUUAAGUCAUCAUCGGGAAGAAGAACGGGGCAGUAGGCUGUUUUGCACGCCAUGACGCAUCUGAAUUAAUGAUAGUCAUUUCUAACACUUCUUUGGAGGAGUAAUUAUAGAGCUUUGUAAACAACUUAGGAAGCAUUAUAAUCAAAGUCAUGAGGAUUUAAGAUCACAGGUUUCACAGACUGCACAAAUAACACUAACCUUACACCUCUAAUGCUGCAUUACACACACACACACACACACACACACACACACACACACACACACACACACACACACACACACAGCCUUAUAUUUGUUAACAUGAAAAAUACAUCAGACUGCAAUGCAUUGUGGGGAAAUUCUGCCCCUGAAAGCCUACAUUCAUAUACAUACACAUACAUCUCCAGUCCUGUUUAUUCAUGUUUACUCCUACAUUCAUGUUUAUUCAUGUUUACAUCUCCAGUCCUGUUUAUUCAUGUUUACUCCUACAUUCAUGUUUACUUCUACAUUCCUAUUUAUUCAUGUUUACUCCUGCAUUCAUGUUUAUUCAUGUUUACUCCUACAUUCAUGUUUAUUCAUUUAUUUCUACAUUCAUGUUUAUUCAUGUUUACAUCUCCAGUCCUGUUGAUUCAUGUUUACUCCUACAUUCAUAUUUACUCCUACAUUCAUGUUUAUUCAUGUUUACUUCUACAUUCAUGUUUAUUCAUGUUUACUCCUACAUUCAUGUUUAUUCAUGUUUACUCCUACAUUCAUGUUUAUUCAUGUUUACUUCUACAGUCCUGUUUAUUCAUGUUUACUCCUACAUUCAUGUUUACUUUUACAUUCCUAUUUAUUCAUGUUUACUCCUGCAUUCAUGUUUAUUCAUAUUUACUCCUACAUUCAUGUUUAUUCAUGUUUACUCCUACAUUCAUAUUUAUUCAUGUUUACUUCUACAUUCAUGUUUACUCCUACAUUCAUAUUUAUUCAUGUUUACUUCUACAUUCAUGUUUAUUCUGUCUACUUCUACAUUCAUGUUUAUUCAUG
ensembl:lncRNA